CUAUGAAUGAGUUUCUCAAUUUAAUUUUUCGUCUAGACAUCGUGACGUGUGAAUAGAAAAUUUACAAAAAUAUGAUAAAUUGUUUGUAAACUUUGUAGGAAAAAAUGGUUAUUAAAACUAUAUCCGUACCGAAACCGUCGAAACGUGAGGUGGAAUCAGAACCUGGGGACGUGAUCGACCUGGGCGCGCCCCGGCGCACCCGCCGCGCGGCGCCCGCGCGAGCCAAGCCGCGCGCCGCCCGGCCCCGCCCGCCAUACACGCCCAACCCGCGCCUGUACCCCGGCCCCCGCCCCAAGCCCAAGCCGCGAGCCAAGCGCGCCGAGCCCCGCGGCGGCGACGCGCGCGGCCGCCGCCGCGUGCUGCGCCGCGCCGUGCCCAACGCGCG